rnacentral:lncRNA from 1 species
UCUCCUUCAAGAAAUCCUUCUUCGCUCGUUAAUCUCUCGGUCUGCAUCAACGAUUUCUUCACAUCGAAUUGGACACAGAAUUUAUCAAAAGUAGAAUGGAGAGAACAUCCCGAAUUUGACUGUCCACCGGAUGAUUCUGGUAACCAGGAAGUGAUAAUCAUGGCAAUGGAGAGAUCCAUGAAGAAACACACUGAUAAUGUUAUGCGGUUUCUCGAGGGUCUUAGUUCGCGGUUAUCACAACUGGAAUUUUGA